UUGGUUAAGUUAGAAAGGGCGCACGGUGGAUGCCUUGGCACUAGGAGCCGAAGAAGGACGGGACUAACACCGAUAUGCUUUGGGGAGCUGUACGUAAGCGUUGAUCCAGAGAUUUCCGAAUGGGGGAACCCACUAUCUUUAGUCGGAUAGUAUCCUUACGUGAAUACAUAGCGUGAGGAAGGCAGACCCAGGGAACUGAAACAUCUAAGUACCUGGAGGAAGAGAAAGAAAAAUCGAUUUCCUGAGUAGCGGCGAGCGAAACGGAAAGAGCCCAAACCAAGAAGCUUGCUUCUUGGGGUUGUAGGACACUCUAUACGGAGUUACAAAAGAAAGUUAUAAAUGAAGCGGUCUGGAAAGGCCCGCCAAAGACGGUAACAGCCCGGUAGUUGAAAUGGCUUUCCCUCCAGAGUGGAUCCUGAGUACGGCGGAACACGUGAAAUUCCGUCGGAAUCCGGGAGGACCAUCUCCCAAGGCUAAAUACUCCCUAGUGACCGAUAGUGAACCAGUACCGUGAGGGAAAGGUGAAAAGCACCCCGGAAGGGGAGUGAAACAGUUCCUGAAACCGUGUGCCUACAAGUAGUUAGAGCCCGUUAAUGGGUGAUAGCGUGCCUUUUGUAGAAUGAACCGGCGAGUUACGAUUUGUUGCAAGGUUAAGCGGAAAAAGCGGAGCCGUAGCGAAAGCGAGUCUGAAUAGGGCGCAUAAGUAACAGGUCGUAGACCCGAAACCAGGUGAUCUACCCAUGUCCAGGAUGAAGGUAAGGUAAUACUUACUGGAGGUCCGAACCCACGCACGUUGAAAAGUGCGGGGAUGAGGUGUGGGUAGCGGAGAAAUUCCAAUCGAACUUGGAGAUAGCUGGUUCUCUCCGAAAUAGCUUUAGGGCUAGCCUCGAGGUAAAGAGUCAUGGAGGUAGAGCACUGUUUGGACUAGGGGCCCUUCUCGGGUUACCGAAUUCAGAUAAACUCCGAAUGCCAUGUACUUAUACUCGGGAGUCAGACUGCGAGUGAUAAGAUCCGUAGUCGAAAGGGAAACAGCCCAGACCACCAGUUAAGGUCCCCAAAUAUAUGUUAAGUGGAAAAGGAUGUGGGGUUGCUUAGACAACCAGGAUGUUGGCUUAGAAGCAGCCACCAUUGAAAGAGUGCGUAAUAGCUCACUGGUCGAGUGACCCCGCGCCGAAAAUGUACCGGGGCUAAACAUAUUACCGAAACUGUGGAUGAACCUCUUUAGAGGUUCGUGGUAGGAGAGCGUUCUAAGGGCGGUGAAGUCAGACCGGAAGGACUGGUGGAGCGCUUAGAAGUGAGAAUGCCGGUAUGAGUAGCGAAAGAAGGGUGAGAAUCCCUUCCACCGAAUAUCUAAGGUUUCCUGAGGAAGGCUCGUCCGCUCAGGGUUAGUCGGGACCUAAGCCGAGGCCGAUAGGCGUAGGCGAUGGACAACAGGUAGAGAUUCCUGUACCAGUGCUAAUUGUUUAACCGAUGGGGUGACACAGAAGGAUAGGGAAUCGCACGAAUGGAAAUGUGCGUCCAAGCAGUGAGUGUGAGAAGUAGGCAAAUCCGCUUCUCGCGAAGCAUGAGCUGUGAUGGGGAAGGAAAUUAAGUACGGAAGUUCCUGAUUUCACGCUGUCAAGAAAAGCCUCUAGGAAGAGUAGUACUGCCCGUACCGCAAACCGACACAGGUAGAUGAGGAGAGAAUCCUAAGGUGAGCGAGAGAACUCUCGUUAAGGAACUCGGCAAAAUGACCCCGUAACUUCGGGAGAAGGGGUGCUCUAUUAGGGUGCAAGCCCGAGAGAGCCGCAGUGAAUAGGCCCAGGCGACUGUUUAGCAAAAACACAGGUCUCUGCAAAACCGUAAGGUGACGUAUAGGGGCUGACGCCUGCCCGGUGCUGGAAGGUUAAGAGGAGUGCUUAGCUUCGGCGAAGGUACGAAUUGAAGCCCCAGUAAACGGCGGCCGUAACUAUAACGGUCCUAAGGUAGCGAAAUUCCUUGUCGGGUAAGUUCCGACCCGCACGAAAGGCGCAACGAUCUGGGCACUGUCUCAACGAGAGACUCGGUGAAAUUAUAGUACCUGUGAAGAUGCAGGUUACCCGCGACAGGACGGAAAGACCCCGUGGAGCUUUACUGCAACCUGAUAUGGAAUGUUUGUACCGCUUGUACAGGAUAGGUAGGAGCCGAAGAGACGUGUGCGCUAGCAUACGAGGAGGCAAUGGUGGGAUACUACCCUGGCUGUAUGACCAUUCUAACCCGCCACGCUUAGCGCGUGGGGAGACAGUGUCAGGUGGGCAGUUUGACUGGGGCGGUCGCCUCCUAAAGAGUAACGGAGGCGCCCAAAGGUUCCCUCAGAAUGGAUGGAAAUCAUUCGCAGAGUGUAAAGGCACAAGGGAGCUUGA
rnacentral:rRNA from 1 species